UACGUAGGGGGCAAGCGUUGUCCGGAAUUAUUGGGCGUAAAGAGCUCGUAGGCGGUUUGUCGCGUCUGCUGUGAAAACUGGAGGCUCAACCUCCAGCCUGCAGUGGGUACGGGCAGACUAGAGUGCGGUAGGGGGAGAUUGGAAUUCCUGGUGUAGCGGUGGAAUGCGCAGAUAUCAGGAGGAACACCGAUGGCGAAGGCAGAUCUCUGGGCCGUAACUGACGCUGAGGAGCGAAAGCAUGGGGAGCGAACAGG
rnacentral:rRNA from 1 species